rnacentral:rRNA from 1 species
GUCGAACGGUGAACACGGAGCUUGCUCUGUGGGAUCAGUGGCGAACGGGUGAGUAACACGUGAGCAACCUGCCCCUGACUCUGGGAUAAGCGCUGGAAACGGCGUCUAAUACUGGAUACGAGUAGCGACCGCAUGGUCAGUUACUGGAAAGAUUUAUUGGUUGGGGAUGGGCUCGCGG